CAGUAGCGUAUAUUAAAGUUGUUGCAGUUAAAAAGCUCGUAGUUGGAUUUCUGGUUUGACGGAACCGAUCCGCGACCUUCCGUCGUGAGUGUUGGCUUUCCGUCUGCCAUCCUUCUAGAAAACUGUCUACCCUUCACUGGGCCGGAUUAGCGAUCUAGAACUUUUACUUUGAAGAAAUUAGAGUGUUCAAAGCAGGCUUGCGCUAUGAAUACAUUAGCAUGGAAUAAUAACUUAGGACUUCGGUCUUAUUUUGUUGGUUUCUAGGACUGAAGUAAUGAUUGAUAGGGAUAGUUGGGGGUGCUAGUAUUCAACGGCCAGAGGUGAAAUUCUUGGAUUCGUUGAAGACUAACUUAUGCGAAAGCAUUCACCAAGGAUGUCUUCUUUAAUCAAGAACGAAAGUUGGGGGAUCGAAGACGAUCAGAUACCAU
rnacentral:rRNA from 1 species